CUUACAUACCUGGUUGGUCUGGGGGGAUUUCAUGUCAGUGUAGUUUAAUCUGAUUUAUAUAUAUCUGGUAUCCAAAUACCUGCAUCGGUAUUAACUGAUAUGAUGUUAAUUUGUUUGUGUACUAUUUUGUAAUAUAUUAUAUCUAUUAUAAAAUAUUGUGUAUAUGUUUUCUAUUCAUUUUUAUUUCUUCCCUAAAAUUAAGCAUUUCCUUAAUGGCCGAACAAAGCGGUGUUGAUUUGGGUAAGAGUUAAAUCUUUUUAAUACUUUAUAGACCCACAUUUUCUGAUGUUUCACAUCAGUGUCACAACUUUCUAUGACAACACGACACAACCCCAACACAUGUUUGAGUCAUGAUGACUACCAUCUGCAUGGUGAUAUACAAAGCCUUUGGUUUUGAUCAUUGCCUCUUUCAGGUGUUGGUGUUUUUUGGAAUGUGAAUUAGAGAGUUUGUAUAUAAUAUUUUACAUCACGUUUCAAUUCUAUUUAUUUUUUAUUAUUAUUUUGUUUACGUUCCUCACAAUGAGCAAUACCCACUUAUCGGGAUUUGUGUCAAACCAAUAUGAUCUUGACACUGUUCUGGAGAGCCAUAAGUGGGCAACUAUGACGUCUUUCACUUUGUGGUAAGAGUUUAGUUGUGUGAUUUUUACGUUUUCAAAGAGAAAGGACAGCAACAUUUUUUGCCAUGACCAUAGAUUUAGCAUGUUUAAGCAAAAGUUGAUGAGUUGUCCAUGCCCUUUUGGAAUAAGUUGUGUCAACUGGUCACUCUGUCAAUGGUUCACCACUGUUCCAUGUUUGAUUUAUGAAUAAUUCACUGUAGUUUGCUAAAUUUCCAAACCGUCAGAAAUUACUUUGUAACCUUUUUUUUAUACUGAUCGAGGUCAUAAUUUAAAAAGCAUUUGUCUUUGUUUAGGUUAGCUUUGUCUGAUAUUAAAGUUUGUUUGAUAAUCUAAAAAUAUAAGUAUGCCCCCCAUACCAAUUUAAAGAAAUAGGUUUCUUAACCACUGCAGAAGGCAUGCUGGAAGAUCAGAAUUUCCAUUUUUCAAGCACAGAAGAUGCAGUCAAAGAACUCAAGAAAGGAGAUUGCAGUAAAACGUCUACAGGAAUCAGAAGAUUUGUCUGAUGUCUGCAGACUCUAUGGGGAAGCCACUACACAGGAUUCUGUGGACACUGCUACUGCUUCUAAAUGGAUUGCCUGUGACUGAUGCAACAAGUGGUUCCACCAUUCAUGUGUCGGAAACUCACCUGAAGAUGAGGAGUUCCUUUGCCCUUUGUGCAAGAUAGACAGCCCCUACCAACUAACUCAUCCGCUGACCCUGCUUUUAAAUGUCAUUGCUACCACUGUUUUCCAACAACUCUAAUCAGACUUCUUUUUCAUUUUAUGUUAAAAAAAGAA